rnacentral:rRNA from 1 species
AGCAGUAGCCGCGGUAAUACGUGGGUGGCAAGCGUUGUCCGGAAUUAUUGGGCGUAAAGGGCUCGCAGGCGGUCUCUUAAGUCUGAUGUGAAAGCCCCUGGCUCAACCGGGGAGGGUCAUUGGAAACUGGGAAACUUGAGUGCAGAAGAGGAGAGUGGAAUUCCACGUGUAGCGGUGAAAUGCGUAGAGAUGUGGAGGAACACCAGUGGCGAAGGCGACUCUCUGGUCUGUAACUGACGCUGAGGAACGAAAGCGUGGGGAGCGAACAGGAUUAGAUACCCGCGUAGUCCCUGUCUCUUAUAC